AUCCUACGGGGGGCAGCAGUGAGGAAUAUUGGUCAAUGGCCGGAAGGCUGAACCAGCCAAGCCGCGUGAAGGACGAAGGUGCCAAGCAUUGUAAACUUCUUUUGUCAAGGGACAAAAUCAGGCUCGAGAGCCUGACCGAGGGUACUUGAAGAAAAAGCAUCGGCUAACUCCGUGCCAGCAGCCGCGGUAAUACGGAGGGAGCAAGCGUUAUCCGGAUUUAUUGGGUGUAAAGGGUGCGUAGACGGGAAUGUAAGUUAGUUUUGAAAUCCCUCGGCUCAACUGAGGAAUUGGAACUAAAACUGCAU
rnacentral:rRNA from 1 species